UUACUUGUUAGCCAAUUAUUUGAAACUGCAAAACAUGAGGCGUUACAAAUAAGUGGUAAAUUUCAUUGUAAUUUUCUUUUACCAUAUGUCACUAUUUUGCAACUAUAUGCCUUUAGAUAGUUACGCUUUGGUCGCACAAUUUGGCUCUAAGGUCCAAAUUUUUUUUAAUAUAGCGCUCAUUUUCUAGGGAAUAGAUUUUCGAUACCCAAAUCCUCUUUCUUCCUUUUAGACCUUUAUGUUCUAUCAUUUUUUUCUUUUCUUCACACUCUGAUCUCAGAAUUUUCUCUUCACCGAAUUUUGAUUGUCUUCACACUCCAGUUUGCUAAAUUCUUUAGAUAAUCACACUUCAUACUCAGAAUUAUGUAUAACAUGAAAAGGUUGGUGUUUGGUGACAGUUGAUCUUUGGUCUGAGAUAAUUAGAUCGGAGGAAGAAGACGGAGAUGGGUUCAGAGAAGUACCUCAGGUCGAGGUUUAUCAGAGAAGGAAGAAGCUUGAGAAGCCUUCCGCAGCCGAAAAUUUAGUGUGGUCGGUGAAAGGGGCUCGAACUAGUGUUAUCAAUGGACCCAAGAGAGAUAGCUGGACUCGUUCCUUUCCACCAGAGGGAGGGAGAGUAUAGCAGCGGGAGCUUAUGUCAACAAUCAGCCUCAGAAGAAGCCUGCACCACUCGGUAAUGGGUUCUCUCCUUUUCUCCUUCAUAUUGUAGAUUUGGGUUCUUCUAAUUCUAGAUGUUUAAUAAAAUAAAAUUGUGUGGUCUCUUUGAUUUGUGGAUUUGUACGAAGGUAAUGUCGUUCCUUCAGUCGGUGGAGUCUGGUGUUAUUUGAGCUUGUAAGUGUCAAAUGGUGAGCACUCACUUUAUCUUAGCUCCUUGCCUGCGAUCCAUUUGAUUAUUAGGUCUUUCCUUUCCCAUCCAAUGAUGCCCGGUCUAGUUCCAGAGAAGAAUACCUGUAAACACACAUAUCCAGUUCAUAUUUGCAAAAGUGAGUCAUGGUUUUGUCUUCAACCCUUCAUUUUGGUUUGGUCUUGAUGGUUCCGGUUCGAAACUGGAACGAAAGAUUUUAAAGUCGACUUCUUCUGCAUUUAUAGGAAUUUAAAAUAUUUCAAUUGUUGUAUUUCUAACUUUUGACUUUCAGAUUAAGUUCGAAGUUAAUAUAUAAAUUCUGAUUCCAAAACGAAUAUUAUAAUAAAUUUUUAUUUCUAAAUGAA